CACGUAGGCACCAAGCGUUGUCCGGAUUUAUUGGGCGUAAAGAGCUCGUAGGCGGUUCAGUAAGUCGGGUGUGAAAACCCAGGGCUCAACCCUGGGCCUGCAUUCGAUACGGGCAGACUAGAGUUCGGUAGGGGAGACUGGAAUUCCUGGUGUAGCGGUGAAAUGCGCAGAUAUCAGGAGGAACACCGGUGGCGAAGGCGGGUCUCUGGGCCGAAACUGACGCUGAGGAGCGAAAGCGUGGGGAGCAAACAGG
rnacentral:rRNA from 1 species